rnacentral:rRNA from 1 species
CUGCCAGUAGUCAUAUGCUUGUCUCAAAGAUUAAGCCAUGCAUGUCUCAGUACAAGCCAAAUUAAGGUGAAACCGCGAAAGGCUCAUUAAAUCAGUUAUGGUUCCUUAGAUCGUACCCACAAUUACUUGGAUAACUGUGGUAAUUCUAGAGCUAAUACAUGCAAAUAGAGCUCCGACCGGAGACGGAAGGAGUGCUUUUAUUAGAUCAAAACCAAUCGGUGGCGGGUUCGCUCGUCAUCGUACAACUUGGUGACUCUGAAUAACUUUACGCUGAUCGCACGGUCUCGCACCGGCGACGCAUCUUUCAAAUGUCUGCCUUAUCAACUGUCGAUGGUAGGUUCUGCGCCUACCAUGGUUGUAACGGGUAACGGGGAAUCAGGGUUCGAUUCCGGAGAGGGAGCCUGAGAAACGGCUACCACAUCCAAGGAAGGCAGCAGGCGCGCAAAUUACCCACUCCCGGCACGGGGAGGUAGUGACGAAAAAUAACGAUACGGGACUCAUCCGAGGCCCCGUAAUCGGAAUGAGUACACUCUAAACCCUUUAACGAGGAUCAAUUGGAGGGCAAGUCUGGUGCCAGCAGCCGCGGUAAUUCCAGCUCCAAUAGCGUAUAUUAAAGU